UUACGGUCAUAUCACGUUGAAACAUUGGUUCCCGUACGAUCACCAAAGUUAAGCAACCUCGAGCCUAGUCAGUACCUAGAGAGGUGACCGUUUGAGAAUACAAGGUUGAUGUAAG